UCCAAUAAAUUCCACGUGUGAUCAAUAUCCUUCUUCAUAAAAGAACGGCACAAGAAGUGUCAAGCAUGGUACGAUCUUCAUGAGAAAGUCGAGCAUAAAAGUUUUGAGUGAUGAUUUCUCUCGAGAGCUCAUGAUUGGGGCAUGAAUAUAGCAUUGAUUUAAUCCUCCCCCAAGCUUGAGCUAUGCUUUCCCUGUCACGAGGCCAAAAGUUAUAAAUAAAGUUUCGAUCACGAUGUACUAAAUGCAUGGGAUAGAACUUUUGAUGAAAUUCCAAUUUCAACCGAUUCUAGCUCCAUGAUCGAGUAUCAUCACAUAGACAAUACCAUGUCAACGCCUUAUCCUUCAAAGAUAAAGGAAAUACUUUCUUCUUUACCUCAUCCUCGGGAAAACCUGCAAGCUUAAAUAAACCACAAACUUCAUCUACAUAGAUUAGAUGAAAGUCUUGAUGUAAAGAUCCAUCUCUUGUAAAAAGAUUAGCCAGCAGUUUCUCAAGCAUACCCAAAGGAAUUUCAUAAAACAUAUUGUCAGUAGGUACCUCAGGUUGAGGAGCAACUCCUCGUGCUUCCGUUCGUGGUGAAGAUACCUCGAACAAACUCCUCAAAGAAAGAGUUUCCAUAGUGACAAGUGAAAAUAAAUUUCAGCACAGUACAAAAGUGUUUCCUUACCAAUUUCCACAUACCAAAGGCGCUUCACUCCCCGGCAUCGGUGCCAGAAAAGAGUCUUGAUGACCCACAAGUAUAGGGGAUCAAUCGUAGUCCUUUUGAUUAGUAAGAGUGUCGAACCCAACGAGGAGCAGAAGGCUCUGAUAAACGGAUUUCAGCAAGCUAAUAACUGCAAGCACUGAAAGUAGAGGUAACAAGUGAUUGUGUAGCGAUGUGAAACGUAGCAAGCAAAGAGUAACAAGUAACAAGUAGUAGCAAUGGUGCAGCAAGUGGCCCAAUCCCUUUUGUAGCAAGGUACGAGCCUGGACAAAGUCUUAUCGGAGGAAAAACGCUCCCAAGGACACACGGGAAUUUAUGUCAUGCUAGUUUCAUCAUGUUCAUAUGAUUCGCGUUCGUUACUUUGAUAGUUUGAUAUGUGGGUGGACCGACGCUUGGGUACUGCCCUUACUUGGACAAGCAUCCCACUUAUGAUUAACCUCUCUCGCAAGCAUCCGCAACUACAAAAGAAGAAUUAAGACAAAGUCUGACCAUAGCAUUAAACUAGUGGAUCCAAAUCGGCCCCUCACGAAGCAGCGCAUAAACUAGGAUUUAAGCUUCUGUCACUCCAGCAACCCAUCAUCUACUUACUACUUCCCAAUGCCUUCCUCUAGGACCAAAUAUGGUGAAGUGUUAUGUAGUCGACGUUCACAUAACACCACUAGAGGGAAAACAACAUAUAGCAUAUCAAAAUACCGAACGAAUAUCAAAUUCACAUGACUAUUAUUAACAUGACUUACCCCAUCUCCUUAGGAACAAAAGUAACUACUUACAAGACAUAAUCAUAAUCAUGACCAGAGGUGUAAUGAAUAGCAUCAAGGAUCUGAACAUAAACUCUUCCACCA
rnacentral:lncRNA from 1 species